rnacentral:lncRNA from 1 species
CCAUUUUCCUAAUUCUGUGGUAAUCCACUUACAGAUCACCUGUACCGAGAAAACAAAACCAAGAGAUCUAUGAAAGACAGAGACAAUCUACCAGUCCCUCCUAGGUUCAUCAAAGCCAAAGACUCUGAAGAUAACAUAUGGUUAUAUGAUAGAUGGUAAAUCUGAAGACUGAAGAAUUUGAUAUGAAUUUCAAAUGUAAGUUGCUAAUUUUUUUCUUAAGAAAUGAAGUGUUCUUCAUUUAAAUUCAGUUUUAAGUGUUCAAUUUAAAUUCAUUUAAAUUCAGUUAAAUGAAUGUUACCACGUAAGCUGGAGAGAGACCUUUUUGCAACACCUUAGUCAAUUGUACAUCAAACUUAACAAAUAUGAUUUGGUAAGAUAGGAGUUUCCUUAGAAACCACAGAACUUUCCACUGAAAUUUAGUGUGUUGGUUGUAGAUGCUGAAUAAUUUAGAAGUCUCAGCAGUGUUGCCAGUGCUAGUAAGAUAUUCCAAUUCCUAAUAGACAAAUAUGUCAUUCAGUACCUUUGCUUUUAUGUUCUCCCCUUCACAGCUUAUCUGACUGAAGGAACAAUCUUACGUUUUAACUAACAGAUAGUGACUGAAACUCAGAACAUAGUGUCAAAACUAUAUGUGAUAGAAUGGCAAUAUAUAUCAUAUUUUAAGUGUACUGUUGGGAGUUUUUUGUGUUCUACAGUGCCAUAAGAUAAACUCCAAAAUUUACUAUAAAUGUAUAAAAGUUCAUACACUUUAUCUUCU